rnacentral:lncRNA from 1 species
CACUUUACAUUCCAUACCCAAAGUAAUCUAUGUCCCGAAGACACUUCACAUUCCAUAUCUGAAGAUAAUUUAUGUCCCGAAGACACUUCACGAGGGCUCGCCGAAACCCUCCUAGCGGUGAGACAGUUGGCCCCUAUAGGCACCACCCUGCCCCAACAAUCAAAUCUGACCCACAAGGGUCUUUUGUGGCGGAUACCUAACAAUUCUAUUAUAUUAAACAUCCUUUUACAAGUACAACCAACACUAGUUUUAAUAUACUCUUUUCGUUUCUUAAGUGCACAUUCGAUGAUGAGUUAUGAUAUGUUUCCAGAGAAAACAAGUUAACAAACAAGGUUCAUAUUUAGGGUCUAUAGAUUAAAGUCUAAUUCAGAUUACUUCUAUAUCAUUCCGCCAGCAACCAUCAAUCAUCAAUAAUCAAUUAACAUAGAUUAGGUCAUAUCAGUUCUAUCAACCCUAAAAAACAGAUCUAAGUUUUGGUUUAAGAAAAGACUAACUACAGAUAAAUAUGAAUGAAAGAGAGGGUGAAGCAGGAAAUCCUCACAGAUGCCUUUAUAGAAGAAGAUACACUUUUUACUCCUCUUUGGACAGAUCCGGACAUCCGGUACGAAAACGGUAAUAUCUCCUAGCUCAGAUCUCCGAUCGGGACGAACUCGGUCUUCUUAGAAAGCUGGCACUCGGGGCUUCAUUUUGAUGGGUAUAUCGUCACUUGGCUACUUACGGUUCGCCGGGAAAUCGUCCUGUAAGGAGGCAGCGGCAGCUAAAGUUUUAGAGAGAAGAAAAGAGAAGCAGGUGAAAUAGGAGAGAGAAGUGGCCAAACGAGAGAUGAAGAGAAAGAGAGCCACGGUGAGAUAGAGAGAAGGAUUAUGGUGUGGCUGAGAGAAUGAGGAAAGAAUAGAGAAUCUGGCUAGGGUUUCUAAAAGUGAGACUGAGA